ensembl:lncRNA novel transcript
GACAACUCGCGGGGAUUGUUUUCCACACCGUGGAAGCUUUGUUCUUUUCGUUUUUUGCAAUAAAUCUUGUUGCUGCUCGCUUUUUGGGUCCACAUUGCUUUUAUGAGCUGUACCACUCACCGUGAAGAUCUGCAGCUUCACUUCAGAGCCUAGCGAGACCACAAGCUCACUGAGAGGAACAAACAACUCCAGACGCGCUGUCUUAAGAGCUAUAACACUCACCGCGAAGGUGUGCAGUUUCACUCCUGAGCUAGUGAGACUACGAAGCCACUGGAACGAAGAAACUCCAACCACGUUUGAACAUCAGAAGGGGCAGACUCCAGACGCUUCAUCUUAAGAGCUGUAACACUCACUGUGAAGGUCUGCAGCUUCACUCCUGAGCCAGCGAGACCACGAACCGAUCUGAACAUCAGAAGGGACAGACUCCAGAUGCCCCACCUUAAGAGCUGUAAUACUCACUGCAAGGGUCUGCAGCUUCAUUCUUGAAGUCAGACCAAGAACCCAGCAAUUCCCAACACACAGGGACCAGCUUCUUUCCUAACUCACUUAGGCUCUUCGUGCUGCUCUGGCAACUAACACCCUUGGCUGCAGGGGCUUGGACACUACCCUUAGUCACUGACAAUUGUGUGAAGGCUGCUGUCGUUAACUUCACUUGAUCACCUUAGGCUCCUGUGAAGUGGUGAGCAAUUCAAACAAAUUCCUGUCGUCAAAUCAUGUGUUCAGCUGCAUUGGCGCCAGAGCACCAAUGGGGCAAGAGAAUCCUCUGGAGAAGUUUUCUGUGAUCUCAUCACAGGAGUAGCCCAGAGGAACAGCCCAGGGCCUGGGGCCUAGGAUGGGUGGACCAGGCCAUGCAGCUGGUUGGGGGCUUGACCCCCACUCAAAAAGACAGGAGAGAGAAGGGGAAUGGCUGUAAGCAGUGAAGCUCCUCUUUGAACACUGUAGAAGGUUCCCAUCCUGGCACAGGCAUGAUGGAGAAAUUGCACUGCAGAGAAAUCUUUAAAAGCAAUUACCUAAUACUGCAGAUUGCUGAACUGUACCCACACCCAAGACUGAGCAUUGGAUCAAUCCAGAAUAUACAUCAGGUGUUCUGCAAUGUCUGCCUAAAACCAUGACUCUGCCUCCUCCAGCUGUUGCUACAUCUCACUAUGGGUUUCCUGUGACAUUUUGAGCAAGUAUGCCUCUGUGACUGGGGUUCUUACACUCCAGAAUGGAUGAGAAGCACCGUAAGUGGCUUUUAAAAUGAAUAUUCCCUGGCCCUUCAGUCGCUCUAUAGGUCAAGAAUCUGAAUUCUCAACCUGUCUAGAAGGUUCUGGUUUUAAUGGUCUGUGGGCUGCACAUUGAGAAACCUGUUCAGCGAGUGCAACAAAGGUUCCACAUGUGAGAAAGGAAGCAUCAGGUCUCUUGAGCCUGUUCUUUAAUCUGUAGGCUGCACCUUCUCUUUAAAUUCUGCUAAUAACACCAUGCGAGAAAACACCCGAGCUUGAAAAGCCCAUGUUCCAACAUAACUGUCCUUCACCACUCUGGAAAAUUAAUGGUUUGUUUCGAUUAUCCCUUUGUUAAACUCCAAAGUCAAAGAGCUCUGAAAGGCAUACGGUUAUUUUAAGUUUCAGGUGAUUUCUGUUGCCAAAUAUUUUAAAAAUUUAAAAUUGCUACGUGACCUCUUAGUAGUACUAUUAGAUUUCCUGACAAUAAAAAUAAGUCUUUUGGUUUCACCAUUUAUAGUUAGUACAGCUAAUAUUAAGUAUAAUUUUAAAAGCCUUUUAUUUUCUCAGAAAGAAAAAAUAAUCAAAAUCUGCUCAGUGUGGUAUUGAAUAAUUAAAAACAAAAGAACAGUAUCUUCACAUUAGUGUUUAAUAUUAAUUGCUUUUUUACCCUUGACACUGGUGCUAAUUAAAUUUUCAUUUUAUUUUCCAUGACUUGUUUAAACAGUUUUUGCAAAUUAUUGCUAAUCAGCCUAAUAAAACUGAAUCACCUAUUAAA